rnacentral:rRNA from 1 species
AUUGAACGCUGGCGGCAUGCCUUACACAUGCAUGUCGAACGGCAGCACGGGAGCAAUCCUGGUGGCGAGUGGCGAACGGGUGAGUAAUAUAUCGGAACGUGCCCAGUCGUGGGGGAUAACGUAGCGAAAGCUACGCUAAUACCGCAUACGAUCUAUGGAUGAAAGCGGGGGAUCGCAGGACCUCGCGCGAUUGGAGCGGCCGAUAUCAGAUUAGGUAGUUGGUGAGGUAAAGGCUCACCAAGCCGACGAUCUGUAGCUGGUCUGAGAGGACGACCAGCCACACUGGGACUGAGACACGGCCCAGACUCCACGGGAGGCAGCAGUGGGGAAUUUUGGACAAUGGCGCAAGCCUGAUCCAGCAAUGCCGCGUGCAGGAUGAAAGGCCUUCGGUUCGGUUAACGUUAAGGUAC